GCAUUUGCUAUGGAUUGCCUUAAAUUUUCGACUUCCUCUUCCAGUUCCAUCUUUUUCAGCAGCAUAUCCUGGAAUAUCUGGUGGAACCACCAGUGCUCAUCCUCUGACUCUUGAAGCCUCCUCCUCAAGACCUCGGACUCCACCUCAGCAUCCUUGACUGCUUGCUGCUCGGGGACCAGUUGAACUUUCAGCCACCGUAAUUCGGCUUCCUCCCGCCCAAGGGCUACAGAUAGUUCCGCCAUAGUCCCCCUCAAGGAGCAAAGCUCAUCAGAACCUUGUGCAAGGAUAGGCUGGACUCU
rnacentral:lncRNA from 1 species